rnacentral:rRNA from 1 species
AGAGGUUGAUCAUGGCUCAGAUUGAACGCUGGCGGCAGGCCUAACACAUGCAAGUCGAACGGUAACAGGAAGCAGCUUGCUGCUUCGCUGACGAGUGGCGGACGGGUGAGUAAUGUCUGGGAAGCUGCCUGAUGGAGGGGGAUAACUACUGGAAACGGUAGCUAAUACCGCAUAAUGUCGCAAGACCAAAGAGGGGGACCUUCGGGCCUCUUGCCAUCGGAUGUGCCCAGAUGGGAUCAGCUUGUUGGUGGGGUAACGGCUCACCAAGGCGACGAUCCCUAGCUGGUCUGAGAGGAUGACCAGCCACACUGGAACUGAGACACGGUCCAGACUCCUACGGGAGGCAGCAGUGGGGAAUAUUGCACAAUGGGCGCAAGCCUGAUGCAGCCAUGCCGCGUGUAUGAAGAAGGCCUUCGGGUUGUAAAGUACUUUCAGCGGGGAGGAAGGGAGUAAAGUUAAUACCUUUGCUCAUUGACGUUACCCGCAGAAGAAGCACCGGCUAACUCCGUGCCAGCAGCCGCGGUAAUACGGAGGGUGCAAGCGUUAAUCGGAAUUACUGGGCGUAAAGCGCAUGCAGGCGGUUUGUUAAGUCAGAUGUGAAAUCCCCGGGCUCAACCUGGGAACUGCAUCUGAUACUGGCAAGCUUGAGUCUCGUAGAGGGGGGUAGAAUUCCAGGUGUAGCGGUGAAAUGCGUAGAGAUCUGGAGGAAUACCGGUGGCGAAGGCGGCCCCCUGGACGAAGACUGACGCUCAGGUGCGAAAGCGUGGGGAGCAAACAGGAUUAGAUACCCUGGUAGUCCACGCCGUAAACGAUGUCGACUUGGAGGUUGUGCCCUUGAGGCGUGGCUUCCGGAGCUAACGCGUUAAGUCGACCGCCUGGGGAGUACGGCCGCAAGGUUAAAACUCAAAUGAAUUGACGGGGGCCCGCACAAGCGGUGGAGCAUGUGGUUUAAUUCGAUGCAACGCGAAGAACCUUACCUGGUCUUGACAUCCACGGAAGUUUUCAGAGAUGAGAAUGUGCCUUCGGGAACCGUGAGACAGGUGCUGCAUGGCUGUCGUCAGCUCGUGUUGUGAAAUGUUGGGUUAAGUCCCGCAACGAGCGCAACCCUUAUCCUUUGUUGCCAGCGGUCCGGCCGGGAACUCAAAGGAGACUGCCAGUGAUAAACUGGAGGAAGGUGGGGAUGACGUCAAGUCAUCAUGGCCCUUACGACCAGGGCUACACACGUGCUACAAUGGCGCAUACAAAGAGAAGCGACCUCGCGAGAGCAAGCGGACCUCAUAAAGUGCGUCGUAGUCCGGAUUGGAGUCUGCAACUCGACUCCAUGAAGUCGGAAUCGCUAGUAAUCGUGGAUCAGAAUGCCACGGUGAAUACGUUCCCGGGCCUUGUACACACCGCCCGUCACACCAUGGGAGUGGGUUGCAAAAGAAGUAGGUAGCUUAACCUUCGGGAGGGCGCUUACCACUUUGUGAUUCAUGACUGGGGUGAAGGC